UCAGCCGCCGCGGUAAAACCAGCACCUCGAGUGGUCAGGAGGUUUAUUGGGCCUAAAGCAUCCGUGGCCGGUUGCAUAAGUUUUCGGUUAAAUCUAUGCGCUUAACGUAUAGGCCGCCGAAAAUACUGUGCAGCUAGGGAGUGGGAGAGGUACACGGUACUCGAUAGGAAGGGGUAAAAUCCUUUGAUCUAUUGAUGACCACCUGUGGCGAAGGCGGUGUACCAGAACACGUUCGACGGUGAGGGAUGAAAGCUGGGGGAGCAAACCGGAUUAGAUACCCGGGUAGUCCCAGCUGUAAACGAUGCAGACUCGGUGAUGCAUUGGCUUGUGGCCAAUGCAGUGCCGCAGGGAAGCCGUUAAGUCUGCCGCCUGGGAAGUACGUACGCAAGUAUGAAACUUAAAGGAAUUGGCGGGGGAGCACA
rnacentral:rRNA from 1 species